GACGAACGCUGGCGGCGUGCUUAACACAUGCAAGUCGAACGAAGAGCGAUGGAAGCUUGCUUCUAUCAAUCUUAGUGGCGAACGGGUGAGUAACGCGUAAUCAACCUGCCCUUCAGAGGGGGACAACAGUUGGAAACGACUGCUAAUACCGCAUACGAUCUAAUCUCGGCAUCGAGGAUAGAUGAAAGGUGGCCUCUACAUGUAAGCUAUCACUGAAGGAGGGGAUUGCGUCUGAUUAGCUAGUUGGAGGGGUAACGGCCCACCCAUGCGAUGAUCAGUAGCCGGUCUGAGAGGAUGAACGGCCACAUUGGGACUGAGACACGGCCCAGACUCCUACGGGAGGCAGCAGUGGGGAAUCUUCCGCAAUGGACGAAAGUCUGACGGAGCAACGCCGCGUGAGUGAUGACGGCCUUCGGGUUGGAAAGCUCUGUUAAUCGGGACGAAAGGCCUUCUUGCGAAUAGGGAGAAGGAUUGACGGUACCGGAAUAGAAAGCCACGGCUAACUACGUG
rnacentral:rRNA from 1 species